UGUUUUAGUAGCCCUAGUCCGCCUGUAAAUAUAUAACAUUAUAAGAUAGUUUUACAUUUAACCACUUGUUACAGAAAGCAUCCUUUAAGUUAACAUUUCACAUGCUAUCUUUGACUUUCAAAAUGAAAAAGAAAGUGACGGUAUUAUAUUUAAUGAAACAUCAACUUUAAGUAUUCUUUCUGCAACUAGCGCGACGGUGUCGCACGGUGCCUAUAGAAGCAGGAGAGACGCUGAUCCAUCCAAUGAUUAUAACACAGGUGGCGCGACCUGGGCGCAGGGUAUCUCUUGUGACUCUUGUGGGAC